rnacentral:rRNA from 1 species
AUUGCACGCUGGCGGCAGGCCUAACACAUGCAAGUCGAGCGAGCGGCGGACGGGUGAGUAAUGUAUGGGGCCUGCCCGAUAGAGGGGGGUAACUACUUUAAACGGUAUCUAAUACCGCAUACUAUCGGAUAACCCAUAUGGGAUUAGCUAUUAGGUGAGGUAAUGGCUCACCUAGGCGCCGAUCCCUAGCUGGUCUGAGAGGAUGAUCAGCCACACUGUGACGUAGAGCCUGCCCAGACUCCUCCGGAGGCAGCCGUGGGGAAUAUUGCACACGUGGCGCAAGCCUUAUGCAGCCAUGCCGCGUGUAUGACGAAGGCCCUAGGUUUGUAAAGUACUUUCAGUCGGGAGGCGUUACCGACAGAAGAAGCACCGGCUAACUCCGCGCCAGCCGCCGCGGUAAUUA